rnacentral:rRNA from 1 species
UACGUAGGGUGCAAGCGUUAAUCGGAAUUACUGGGCGUAAAGCGUGCGUAGGCGGUUUCGUAAGUCUGGUGUGAAAGCCCCGGGCUCAACCUGGGAAUUGCGAUGGAGACUGCGAGGCUAGAGUGUGGCAGAGGGGGGUAGAAUUCCACGUGUAGCAGUGAAAUGCGUAGAUAUGUGGAGGAACACCGAUGGCGAAGGCAGCCCCCUGGGAUAACACUGACGCUCAUGCACGAAAGCGUGGGGAGCAAACAGG